AAAUGAGAUGCAAACUCAAUUAUCAUGAUUGAGUAACAAGUGACAUAUUUGUUGGUGAGGAUGAACAGAAGUAUGUCAAACUGGAUGAGAGUGCUACACAUUGAUUGUUCAGUAGGAUGUAUGGUCACCCAAGAUUGUCAAAACACACUGACAGCAAUGGGGCAUGGACAGGAUCAAAUUGUCCAGCUUGGGAUGCAAUGGGGAAUCGGAUCCAGGAUCAGAUGGUCCAGUUUGGGAUGCAAUGGGAAUCGGAUCUGGGAUCAGAUUGUCAUGCUUGGGAUUCAGGUCUGGAGAACAUGAAGGCCAGUCCAUGCAUUCAAUUCCUGCCUCUUGAAGCAUGUUA
rnacentral:lncRNA from 1 species